AGCAGUAGCCACGGUAAUACGGAGGGGGCUAGCGUUGUUCGGAAUUACUGGGCGUAAAGCGCACGUAGGCGGCUUGGUAAGUUAGAGGUGAAAGCCCGGAGCUCAACUCCGGAAUUGCCUUUAAGACUGCCGAGCUAGCAGGUGAGAGAGGUAAGUGGAAUUCCGAGUGUAGAGGUGAAAUUCGUAGAUAUUCGGAAGAACACCAGUGGCGAAGGCGGCUUACUGGCUCAUACUGGACGCUGAGGUGCGAAAGCGUGGGGAGCAAACAGGAUUAGAUACCCGUGUAGUCCCUGUCUCUUAUAC
rnacentral:rRNA from 1 species